AAUUUAUUAACAAAAGGACGAAUGUUAUGUCACAGUAGAUCAACGCUAAUAUGCACUGGGGUGGAAACUAGCACACGAUGGCGGGAACUUUUGAAUAGCUGAUCGACAGACGAUUCUGAAUGUAUUUUGCCGAAAGGAAUGCAAGUCUUUUUUGUGUUUUGUUUUUCUUCUCUGUUGCUUUCAUGGAUUGGGGGCAGUGGUUUAAUUACUAUGCAGGGAUUAACGCUGAGAGAAGGAAUCAUGGCCGACCGAGGCGCCACAACGACAGCGGAUACCGGUGUUCAUAUAUGUCUGACAGAUUUUCUUAUCCUGAUUAUAUAAUUGCAUAUAUGAGGGGAAAAUGAUAGAAACAUCAGGAAAUCAUUUCAAACAUCGGUUUGGUAUUAGACAGCAUGACUUGUCUGACCUUUGAUUUUCUGGGAUAAAGUGGUGUCUUCAAUGUGGGCAUAUACUGGAUAUAAUUAAUAAAGGAUGCUAUAUACACAUCAAUAAAGCGUGAAUCCAGUAUUACUAAAUGGUAUCUUCUUUACGCUCCAUGCUGUAUUCAUCACAUCUAUCACCAUAUUCAAGCGUCUAAUGUAUAAGAUCAAAAAUUAACCUGUAUAUCGAUCAAGACGUCUACUACAUUGAAUACGAUCGAAUUCCAGCUAAUCCAUCUCGAGCCAAAAUUGGAUGUGGAAUAGGUCUUAACUCGAGUACACUUCACCAACCACGCGGCAUGGUCAUUGAGGAAUGGCGCAGGUUUUCAUCAAGAGGUGAUGAUGAAUCACUUGGAUUUGGGAGUGUUGUUUGGAAGGCAUCCGAGUGUGGGUAUGUUAUGACGAGAAUGAGGCCUGACGUCUUGACUAGCCAAAUCAAUUUCCAACAAGAGAGCGGCCUAUUUUACAAUGAGAAGGAGUAGCUAUAGUGACGUCUGGGCGAUGGAUUUUGGUCGAUGAAGUCUUAUCCCGGGUCUCACCAUGGUGAGGGAUGAUGAUCAAGGAUCCCGGGUGACGUUAUAUCUAACAUAACGGUAAUGUUCCCGAGGACGUUAAAUAAUAAGAUUUGUUG